rnacentral:lncRNA from 1 species
GGGAGAGCCGGGGUCGUGGACUUUGUAGCUGAAGCUGUGGGUGCUGGAGUGGGAGUGAGGCGUGGAGGACGCAGUCGCGGACGGGAGGAGGAAGGAGCCUCGGGGAAGGCAGGAUGUGAGGGUUGCGAGCGGUCACCACAAAGGCUCAAAGCAGUGGUUGGAGAACUGCUGGAGCCUCAGUAUGGGUCACGGCAAGAAGUCAAAGGUGGGGCCGGCAAGGCGGCUCAACCAACCAGUACAGAAGCUUGCCGCGGAGAUCGUUCAUCUAGAUACAACCGCUGGGACUUCCAUGGAAGGGUUUCUCACUGGGCCUGGAACUCACUGCUUCACAUAGGCUGGUCGGCCAUCGUGGGAGCGGCCCAGGACUGGAGUUACAGGGUGAAGCUACCAACUUUAUGAACGUCCAUUAGGCAAUCGCACAGAGAUGGAGAGUGUUCGUUUUUACUGGGGUUUGGGUCGGAGGAGGGGGACUGCACGCUGCUGAGAGAGCUUCUUAGGGAAAUGACAGAAUAGUCAGAAAUUGGACAGUGGUGAUAGUUGGUGACUUUGAAUAUGCCAAAAAUCAGUAAGUUGUAUUCUUCUAAGGGAUAAAUUUGGGGCUGAGGUCAUAGUGUACUGGCAGAGUAUGUGGCCAGCAUGCACAAGGUUUUGGGUUUGAUCGCUAGCAACACACACACACACACACAGUGAAUUUCAUGUUAAUAAUGCUAUUACUCAAACACAAAAAAGGUCAUCAGUAUGAGUACCUAGCCUCCCACGCCGGAAGACCCUCUAAAGGGAGCGGGAGCAUGAAGGAAAGCUGUAUAAAUUAUGUAGCCAGAGAAUCUGAGAGUCUUCGUACUAAGUGGCUAGUAUACCUGAUCGCUUCACAUAGGUUUGUUCAUAACCUGAUCCUUACCUUAUCUGGAGCAUAUUAUUGGAUAACUAAUUAAAAUAUCCUAGAAAAAAUACAUUAAAAAAAAAAACGUUCUCAGCAAUCUGAAAAAACCCAGAAGCAUACAAGACUAGCCCGUGCAUACAAGCAGGCGUGUGGAACCCCUGAAAAAGUGUCAAAUGUGCAACUGACAUUAAAAACUGGCAGUAAAACAUCACGGCACAUGGUACCCAGGUCACACAGCCUCUGUAAGUUCUAGCUUGGUCUCCCCAGAUUUCAUUCUCAUGGUGUGUUAGCUUGCUGUCAGGGUAAGGUGGGACAGUCUCAGGCGCUCAGGCCCUUAGCCACAGCAGCUCUGCUCCCUACUCCAAGGCCCAGCACAAAGGAGUUUCAAUGUAACCCUUCCUUCAUGACCUCCACGUGGGCAUCUCCCAGUGCCUGCAUGAAGAGCUGUACUCUGCCGUCUGUACCACACGUGCUGUGAGUGCCACAGGACUGUGUAGAGCUUAGCAAGAGGUGGAGAGUGCCAUAUUUCUUAAGGCAUACCUCUUGAGUGUGUCUGUGAAGAUGUUUUCUGAGAGAAUUCACUAGGGUUCACUGUGAGAAGGGGAGGGAGGUGGGGAGACCUGCCUUGAAGGUGGGCAGUGUCAUCCCAAGAGGUAAGGAUAAGGACAAAGGAGAAACUGGCUGAGUACCAGCAUCUUCUGGUCUCUGCUUCCUGGCUCACUGUGAUGGAUGCAAGUCCACUGAAAACAGGAGCCCAAACAAACCCUUCCCCCACUAAGCCUUCUCUGCCAGGAAUUGUGGAUAGAGAGACAAAGAGUAACUGAUACUCUCCACAACUGAAGGGAUCCUAGAUAAUACAUGAAGCUAGUAUGUUAUUAAAAUUUCCAUAGAGGAAGUCAACUUGCUAGAACUACAAUUCCUUAGGAAUUGUGUGUGUGUUUCAGAAACUCAGAGUUUCUGAUAUCUAAAUGAGUCCAGAUCUAUUUAAUUUUCAUAAUUUAACAAAGAAGCUAUUUCCCACAGUGACAGCUAGAUUUGUAAUAUCUCAAUUACUUGGCAGAAAAGGUAACAGGACCUCCAGGUAAUACGAAUUUCAGAUAAAUGACAAAAGUAUAGACCUCCAGGAGACCUCAAGCCCACUGCUGGUGACACACCAUCUCCCAAGGCCACGCCCACUCCAAAGAGGCCACACCUCUGAAUUCUUCUCAAAUGGUUCCACUAACUGGGACGAAGCAUGCAAACAUACGUGUCUGUGGGAGCCAUUCUCAUUCAAACCACUGUAUUCGGCAACCUCCAUCUGCAUGGGCGCUAUUAGCAACUAGGGAGAAGGCUCAGUAGGUGCAGUGCUUGCUGCAGGAGCUUGAGGAUGUGAGCUUGGAUGCUCACACUUACACAGAAGUCAUGUAUGGGAGUGCAUGCUUGUAAUCCCAACAAGGGGGAGACAGAGACGGGAGGCUCCCUGGGAUCCACUGGCCAGCCAUUCCAGCCAAAUCAGAAAGCCAUGGUUCAGUGAGUAACUCUUGUCUCAAAGAAAUAUGGUGGAGAGGGAUUGGUGAAGACACCUGGUGUUGACCUCUGGCCUCUAACAUACACAAUUUGUUUUUAAAGUUCAAAUAAAAGGCAAUGGGGUGGGGGAUGAAUAUGAUCAAAAUAUACAGUGUCUUAGUUAGGGAGUCAUUGCUUUGAACAGACACCAUGACCAAGGCAACUCAUAUAAGGACAACAUUUACUUGCGGCUGGCUUACAGGUUCAGAGGUUCAGUCCAUUAUCAUCAUGACAGGAAGUGUGACAGCAUCCGGGCAGACAUGGUGCUGAGAGUUCUACAUCUUGACCUAUAGAUCAAGUCUCUCUCUUCUGCACUAGGCAGAGCUUGAGCAUAGGACUGCAAAGCUCAACCCCCACCCCCACCCCCUACCCCUGCAGGGAUGAAUUUACUCCAGCAAGGCCACACCUAGUCUAUAAAGAACACACCUCCUAAAAGUGGCACUUCCUGUGGGCCAAGCAUCCAAACGCAUGAGUCUAUGGGUGCCAAACCCAUUCAAACCACCACACACACUGUAUGAAAAUUUACAAGAAUUAAUAAGAUCAUUACUUAGAAAGGAAAUUAUUAGGGUUAUAAUUUAUUAAAGGGGUGAAUCAUUGAUUUAGCCCGCCCCCAAUUCAGAGAACAAAAUCCAAAGACACAG